rnacentral:pre_miRNA from 1 species
UUGGUUUAAAUUAUUGUGAGACUAUACUUUGGAAAUAUAACUCACACAAAAUGGUGGAACAUACAUUGAUUCCAUCUAA